rnacentral:snRNA from 1 species
GUGAUGGCUUCUGUAGCACAUAUACUAAAAUUGGAACUAUACAGAGUGGAUUAGCAUGUCCCCUGCACAAGGAUGACACGCAAAUUCAUGAAGCGUUCCAUAUUUUU